AUUUUUUUACACAUAAGUCCAUUUGUUGUUACCUUUUCCUUCAGUUUCAGUGUAUGGAAUGCUCCUUUGUAGAGUUUCAUGUAUUUGCUUUUCUAUUUUCCCUGAUUUUGUUCAACUUUUUAAAGUGUAAUGGUUGUGUUUUAUUAUGGAAAAGGUUUAUCAAUUGAUAACUCUUUGUCACCCCUUUUCUAGGAGGGUCUGUUAAAUAAUUUGUAAUUGAGCUGCAUUUUAAAUUUGUUGAAAUGUACUUAAUUUAUCAUAUUGCUUUUGAAUCAGAAUGAUUUCAAAACUUGAAGCUCAGGUCAAACAAGUGGAGCAUGAAAAUAUGUUAAGCUUUCGUCAUAAUUCUAAAACUCACGUGAGACCCUCUCGUGCCAACACGCUGGCAACUUCUGACGUCAGCAGGCGCAAGUGGCUGAUUCCAGGCGCAGAGUAUUCCAUCUUCACUGGCCAGCCCCUGGACAUCCAGGGCAGUAGCGUAGAUCACCAGCUGGAGGAAACCUGUGUCCCUGGGUACCAUUCCCCUCCAGAAAAGGAUUCUUCACCUGAAAGUUCACCAACAAGCUUAUUGAUGAAAAACCAAAGAGAGACUUCAGACAUACCGAUCAUGAAAGCUUUAAAAGAACUUGAUGAAGAAAAAAUAUUUAAAAAUUGGGGGACACAAACAGAGAAAGAGGAUACCUCAAAUAAAUUAGUGAAUCCUCGGCAAACUGAAACUUCAGUCAAUGCAAGUCGUUCCCCAGAAAAAUGUGCCCAACAGAGACAAAAGAGACUUAAUUCUGCUUCACAGAGAUCAUCCUCUUUACCACCUUCAAAUCGUAAAUCAAGCACUCCAACAAAGAGAGAGAUUAUGUUAACACCAGUGACUGUGGCUUAUAGUCCAAAGCGAUCCCCUAAAGAAAAUUUGUCUCCAGGAUUUAGUCAUCUACUUAGCAAAAAUGAAAACAGUCCAAUUAGAUUUGAUAUACUUUUGGAUGAUUUAGAUACUGUUCCUGUGUCGACAUUACAACGUACCAAUCCAAGAAAACAACUCCAGUUUCUUCCUCUAG
ensembl:lincRNA